AGAGUUUGAUCAUGGCUCAGAUUGAACGCUGGCGGCACGCCUAACACAUGCAAGUCGAGCGGCAGCGAGAUUAGUAGCAAUACUAAUUGUCGGCGAGCGGCGGGCGGGUGAGUAAUACGUAGGAACCUGUCCUUCAGAGGGGGACAACCAAGGGAAACUUUGGCUAAUACCGCAUAAACUCGAAAGAGGAAAGCUGCCCCGCAAGGGGUGGUGCUGAAGGAGGGGCCUGCGUCCGAUUAGCUAGUUGGUGAGGUAAAGGCUCACCAAGGCGAUGAUCGGUAACUGGUCUGAGAGGACGACCAGUCACACUGGGACUGAGACACGGCCCAGACUCCUACGGGAGGCAGCAGUGGGGAAUAUUGGACAAUGGGGGCAACCCUGAUCCAGCGAUGCCGCGUGGGUGAAGAAGGCCUUCGGGUUGUAAAGCCCUUUAGGUUGGGAAGAAGUGCAUGAGAUGAAUAAUCUUAUGUAUUGACGGUACCGACAGAAUAAGCACCGGCAAACUCUGUGCCAGCCGCCGCGGUAAUAC
rnacentral:rRNA from 1 species